GGAGGAGGAGGAAAGAAAGAGAUCACCAGUUAGCUAUAGGCAUGGAGGGAAUAGGCUAUAGGCAUGGAGGUAAUAGGCUAUAGGCGUUAUUAGUCUCUCUCUCUCUCUCUCUCUCUCUCUCUCUCUCUCUCUCUCUCUCUCUCUGCCCCCCCUACCCCCCCCCAACCCCUCGUGUGUGGCAAUGAAUGCGUUUCUCAUCUGCAUGCUUCAAAAAGAGGCUUCCAUCAAGAUAGGCUUUGACGUGACAGACAGACGGGGCGUGUCGGGGCGUAGUAUACAGCUUGGUAAACAGGAGCUGCCUUGUGCUGGUCAACUCGUGUCUAGCAGGGAAAAAAAGACGCGAUUUAGCGGAGUCUUGUGGUCUUGGCGACGGGGCAGGAUAACACUGGGUGGAUGAAAGGUUUAGAGAGAGUGUCGUGUGUGGGUUGACUGUCCUUGCUUCUUAUAUAUUUGCGGGUUGUGUUCAUUUGUGGGGUUUGACAGCGCCGUAGCAAGAGAAAAGAAGAAAGGAAGGAAACAGGGAAGGAAAGGUUUACGAGGAGUUAGGUUAGGUUAGGUUAGGUUAGGUUAGGUUAGGUUAGGUUAUCUUUUAUGCGGGUUGUGUUCUUUUGUGGUUUGAAUUCGCCGUAGCAAGAGUAAAGAAGAAAGGAAGGAAACAGGGGAAGGAAUGGUUUAUAAGGAGUUAGGUUAGGUUAAGUUAGGUUAGGUUAGGUUAUCUUUUAUGCGGGUUGUGUUCUUUUGUGGUUUGAAUUCGCCGUAGCAAGAGUAAAGAAGAAAGGAAGGAAACAGGGGAAGGAAUGGUUUAUAAGGAGUUAGGUUAGGUUAAGUUAGGUUAGGUUAGGUUAGGUUAGGUUAGCUUAUCUUUUUGCGGGUUGUGUUCUUUUGUGGUUUGAAUUCGCCGUAGCAAGAGUAAAGAAGAAAGGAAGGAAACAGGGGAAGGAAUGGUUUAUAAGGAGUUAGGUUAGGUUAAGUUAGGUUAGGUUAGGUUAUCUUUUAUGCGGGUUGUGGUCUUUUGUGGUUUGAAUUCGCCGUAGCAAGAGAAAAGAAGAAAGGAAGGAAACAGGGGAAGGAAAGGUUUAUGAGGAGUUAGGUUAGGUUAAGUUAGGUUAGGUUAGGUUAGGUUAGGUUAGGUUAUCUUUUUGCGGGUUGUGUUCUUUUGUGGUUUGAAUUCGCCGUAGCAAGAGAAAAGAAGAAAGGAAUGAAAAAAGGGGAAGGGAAAGGUUUGCAAGGAGUGUCGUGUGUUGGUUGACUGUCCUUGCUCUUGUUCAUAGGCUCUUUAGGUAAUAUAAUACUAAUAUUCCUUGUGCUCCUUAAUGUUUUGUGUUUUGACUGAACCACAGCAAUACAGAAGCAGAGAAGGAUAACAGUCUGCAAAUGAAAGGUUUAUAGAGACUGUCGUGUGUGGGUUGACCGACUUAGGCGCUUGUAUAGAGACCCAUUAGCUAACAUUCUUUGUGUUAUGCUGUGUUUUUGUGUGAGUUUGUCCCUGCCACAGCAACAGAAAGGCAGAGAAGGACAGUACUCUUCACAUUAAAGGUUCAUAAGUGUUGCCAUUUGUGGGUUGACCGACUUAAGUUAAGCUAUUAAAUAUAGACCCAUUAGCUAACAUUCUUUCUGUUAUUCCGUGUUUUUGUGUGAGUUUGUCCUUGCCACAGCAACAGAAAGGCAGAGAAGGACAGUACUGUGCAAAUGAAAGGCUUAUAAGUGCUGCCGUGUGUGGGUUGACGGACUUAGGCGCUUGUAUAGAGACUCAUUAGCUACCAUUCUUUGUGUUAUGCUGUGUUUUUGUGUGAGUUUGUCCCUGCCACAGCAACAGAAAGGCAGAGAAGGACAGUACUCUUCACAUUAAAGGUUCAUAAGUGUUGCCAUUUGUGGGUUGACCUACUUAAGUUAAGCUAUUAAAUAUAGACCCAUUAGCUAACAUUCUUUCUGUUAUUCCGUGUUUUUGUGUGAGUUUGUCCCUGCCACAGCAAUAGAAAGGCAGAGAAGGACAGUACUCUUCACAUUAAAGGUUCAUAAGUGUUGCCAUUUGUGGGUUGACCGACUUAAGUUAAGCUAUUAAAUAUAGACCCAUUAGCUAACAUUCUUUCUGUUAUUCCGUGUUUUUGUGUGAAUUUGUCCCUGCCACAGCAAUAGAAAGGCAAAGAAGUACACUACUCUGCAAAUUAAAGGUUCAUAAGUGCUGCCAUCUGUACGUUGACCGACUUAGGCGCUUGUUUAUAGACCCAUUAGCUAACAUUCUUUCUGUUAUUCCGUGUUUUUGUGUGAGUUUGUCCCUGCCACAGCAACAGAGAGGCAGAGAAAGACAGUACUCCGCAAAUACAAGGUUCAUAAGUCCUGCCAUCUGUGCGUUGACCGACGUAGGCUAAUGUUCUUUGUGUUCCUUCGUGUUCUGAUGCACAUAUUCUUUAGCCUGGCACCACAUUCUCAAACACUUCGGCGCCCACAGCACACAUAAUCGGCACGCUUUUCCUAGAAGUUUCGGGCAUUUCCAGGGGUAGUUUAAUGGCCCUGGUGGUAGUUUGACCCUUCUUUUAUGCUAUGAUUGUGAAAAAGCACUCAUGAAAACCAGAUUGACCUCUUUUUUGACCUUUGGAAAUAACUGAUGUGAGAGGUGGACGCGUUUGAGAACCCCCCCCCCCCCCUGGUCUCUUUGUGUUCUCGUGUGUUUUGGAUCCUGCAACACAGACAGAGAGGCAGACAGACAGACACAUAUUAAGGUGAGCAGGAUCUGUUAGCCUUCCUUCCUCCUCUUCCCCCUCCUCCUCCUCCCCCUCCUCCUCCUCGUCACCCUCUUAGCAAGCGAGUAAAAUUAGAAUGAGCAGGUCUUGUUGCCUCUCUUUAUGGGACUGUUUUGCUUGGGUCCGGGUCUCCUGUUAUCGCGGAGGAAUUUCUAAUGGACGGCGUUCAUGGCGUCGGGAGUAAUUUAUCGCGUCGUAAACUCACUUAUUCCGAGGGGCGAUCAAUGUAGAUUACGUUAUGUAUUCUUGGUUUUUUAUUUAUGGGGUAUUUAUUCAGUAUUCGGCGCGUGGAAGUGAUAGGUUAAGGUUUAGUCUUGUUUGGUUAAUUACUCUCUCUCUCUCUCUCUCUCUCUCUCUCUCUCUCUCUCUCUCUCUCUCUCUCUCUCUCUCUCUCUCUCUCUCUCUCUCUCUCUCACGUACUUUUUGACUCUCCGGAGCUCAGGUCAACGCAGGUCACCCGGUCAGGUCAACGCUUGCACUCCGCCUAACCGCCUGCUUGUUUUCUGCAGUCGUUUGAGCGUUUCGUUGUUACCCUGCUGCUUCUUGCUGACUAUGUGUGUGUGUGUGUGUGUGUGUGUGUGUGUGUGUUCAGCCCUUCGUGUGUGCUAACCUCUCUUGUUGGACUUGUGCCUCGCAGUCUGGAUAAGUACUGGAUAAGUCUGGAUACGUCUGGAUAAGUUUAGAUAAGUCUGGAUAAGUACUGGAUAAGUCUGGAUAAGUACUGGAUAAGUUUGGAUAAGUACUGGAUAAGUCUGGAUAAGUACUGGAUAAGUCUGGAUAAGUGCUGGAUAAGUCUGGAUAAGUCUGGAUAAGUACUGGAUAAGUCUGGAUAACUCUGGAUAAGUACUGGAUAAGUCUGGAUAACUCUGGAUAAGUACUGGAUAAGUCUGGAUAACUCUGGAGAAGUACUGGAUAAGUCUGGAUAAGUCUGGAUAAGUACUGGAUAAGUCUGUACUAAAUACGCCGUCUGGAUAAGUACUAAAUAACGCUUCCCUACAGAUCUUACCCUUCUUCCCGUAGUAAUCUGUAUAACAAAGACACGCUCACACAUACAUCAGUAAUACUUCUACUUUCCAUGCACUAUAUUUAUUUCUUUACCGAAUUGUUAACUUAAAAAAAAAAUAGUAGACUUUAUAAGCUAUUAUAUAUUUUUGUGUGCUUUCUCGGAACAGGAAUCAGCUGUCCUCGAUUCUCGACCUGUUCGCCUAACCCAGUAUUUGCAUUACCGUUUUCGUAUUGCAACCGGAGUUAUUUUUGUCAGCCUUGUCAUUCCCCAGCGCUCUAUUGAUAAGCGGGCUCUGACUGUAUAAUCACUGUAAAGCAAUUUUUUUUUUACAGCUAAGUAGACAGUUCAAGGGCGUAAAGAAAAAAAAAAAAAAAAAAGCCCGCAAAACCAAGCUGAGUUAGUACACACGUAUGUUACACGGGUAGAUACAUGUCUUUAGGGGUAUGAUAGGUCGCGAGGGCAUGACUUUUAGGUGGCCGAGCGAUGUAAGGCACUAAUGUUUAUAAGAUCAUGUAUAGAAUUGAAAAUAAUGUAGGAGUAGAAACCACACAGGCCCUAAGGCCCAAACUAGGUGGUCUGUCCUGAAUAUAGAACAAAGAACUCAAUACUAGCAAGAAGGGGACGGAGGCAAUACGUGUGCCCUCAGGUGUUGGCCUUCAAGGUGACGCCUCACACGCAUUGGGGGUGUAAUUACAUGUAAGACUGUAUAAUAUAGAUAAACAUACCACGUUUCAAUAACCACAGAGAGAGAGAGAGAGAGAGAGAGAGAGAGAGAGAGAGAGAGAGAGAGAGAGAGAG